rnacentral:rRNA from 1 species
GAUGAACGCUGGCGGCGUGCUUAACACAUGCAAGUCGAACGAAGCACUUUAUUUGAUUUCCUUCGGGAUUGAUUAUUUUGUGACUGAGUGGCGGACGGGUGAGUAACGCGUGGGUAACCUGCCUUGUACAGGGGGAUAACAGUUGGAAACGGCUGCUAAUACCGCAUAAGCGCACGGCAUCGCAUGAUGCAGUGUGAAAAACUCCGGUGGUAUAAGAUGGACCCGCGUUGGAUUAGCUAGUUGGUGAGGUAACGGCCCACCAAGGCGACGAUCCAUAGCCGACCUGAGAGGGUGACCGGCCACAUUGGGACUGAGACACGGCCCAAACUCCUACGGGAGGCAGCAGUGGGGAAUAUUGCACAAUGGGCGAAAGCCUGAUGCAGCGACGCCGCGUGAGCGAAGAAGUAUUUCGGUAUGUAAAGCUCUAUCAGCAGGGAAGAUAAUGACGGUACCUGACUAAGAAGCAC